UACGUAGGGGGCUAGCGUUGUCCGGAAUCAUUGGGCGUAAAGCGCGUGUAGGCGGUCCGGUAAGUCCGCUGUGAAAGUCGAGGGCUCAACCCUCGAAUGCCGGUGGAUACUGUCGGGCUUGAGUACGGGAGAGGCGAGUGGAAUUCCUGGUGUAGCGGUGAAAUGCGCAGAUAUCAGGAGGAACACCGAUUGCGAAGGCAGCUCGCUGGAACGUUACUGACGCUGAGACGCGACAGCGUGGGGAGCAAACAGG
rnacentral:rRNA from 1 species